AUUGAACGCUGGCGGCAGGCCUAACACAUGCAAGUCGAGCGGGAGCUUCGGUUCUAGCGGCGGACGGGUGAGUAAUGCGUAGGAAGCUACCCGACAGAGGGGGAUACCAGUUGGAAACGACUGUUAAUACCGCAUAAUGUCUACGGACCAAAGUGUGGGACCUUCGGGCCACAUGCUGUCGGAUGCGCCUACGUGGGCUUAGCUAGUUGGUGAGGUAAUGGCUCACCAAGGCGACGAUCCCUAGCUGGUUUGAGAGGAUGAUCAGCCACACUGGAACUGGGACACGGCCCAGACUCCUACGGAGGGCAGCAGUGGGGAAUAUUGGACAAUGGGCGAAAGCCUGAUCCAGCCAUGCCGCGUGUGUGAAGAAGGCCUUCGGGUUGUAAAGCACUUUCAGUAGGGAGGAGGAGUUGAGUGUUAAUAGUACUCAGCUUUGACGUUACCUACAGAAGAAGCACCGGCUAACUCUGUGCCAGCAGCCGCCGUAAAAC
rnacentral:rRNA from 1 species